AUGAACGCUAGCGGCAGGCUUAAUACAUGCAAGUUGAGGGGCAGCAUGAUAUACGCAAGUAUAUUGAUGGCGACCGGCGGACGGGUGAGUAAAAGGUAGGAGACCUACCUCAUACAGGGGGAUAGCAUAGAGAAAUCUGUGGUAAUACCCCAUGAGGUUAUAUGAAUAGAGGCAUAUAAUCAAAGUAUACGAGAGUAUGCGGUAUGAGAUGGGCCUACUGACCAUUAGCUAGUUGGUGAGGUAAGGGCUCACCAAGGCGAAGAUGGUUAGGGGUUUUGAGAGAGAGAUCCCCCACAUUGGAACUGAGAUACGGUCCAGACUCCUACGGGAGGCAGCAGUAGGGAAUAUUGGGCAAUGGGCGAAAGCCUGACCCAGCCAUGCCGCGUGAAGGAAGACGGCCUUAUGGGUUGUAAACUUCUUUACUAUACGAAUAGAGGUUAGUACGAGUUACUAAUAGGAAGGUAGUAUAGCAAAAAGCACCGGCUAACUCCGUG
rnacentral:rRNA from 1 species